rnacentral:rRNA from 1 species
CCACGCGUCGCGCGGCCGUCGGGGUUCGACGACGGCGGCCGCCUACUCCAAUCUUGCUGCGCGGUGCUCUUCACCGAGUGCCGUCGGCGGGCCGACACGUUUACUUUGAACAAAUUAGAGUGCUCAAAGCAGGCUCAAAUCUGGCGGGGCGGCUUCACGGCCGUCUCGUCAAAAGGCCCUGAAUACUGGUCGCAUGGAAUAAUGGAACAAGACCUCGGUCCCGCGCAUCUCCGCCCUUCGCGGGCGCGCGAAAUCGCCCUCCGGGGCGUUUCCGUGCGCGGGCCGCCGGGCCGCGGGCGCCAGUCGCCCGCGCGUCCCGCCGGGCCGGUUUUCGGGACCGGAGGUAAUGAUCAACAGAGACGGGCGGGGGCAUUCGUACCGAGACGUUAGAGGUGAAAUUCUUGGAUCGUCUCGAGACGAACUGACGCGAAAGCAUUUGCCAAGUACGUUCUCGUAUGAUCAAGAACGAAAGUUAGAGGUUCGAAGGCGAUCAGAUACCGCCCUAGUUCUAACUGUAAACGAUGCCAGCUAGCGAUCCGCCGGCGUUUCAUUAACGACCCGGCGGGCAGCUUCCGGGAAACCGAAGCUUUUCGGUUCCGGGGGAAGUAUGAUUGCAAAGUUGAAACUUAAAGGAAUUGACGGAAGGGCACCACCAGGAGUGGAGCCUGCGGCUUAAUUUGACUCAACACGGGAAACCUCACCAGGCCCGGACACCGGAAAGAUUGACAGAUUGAGAGCUCUUUCUUGAUUCGGUGGGUGGUUGUGCAUGGCCGUUCUUAGUUGGUGGAGCGAUCUGUCUGGUUAAUUCCGAUAACGAACGAGACUCUGUCCUGCUAACUAGGCGGGUAAACCCGGGUCGGCUGUGGGCGCGGCGCUGGCGGUUUCUUCCGUCCGUGUUCGCGUUUUCGUCGGCUCGGCCCGGUAUCCCCGAACGCGUUCGCCCGUCGUCCGCGGCGGUUGUCGGGCGCGGCCGUGCCAUCCGCGUCCUGGCGUGCGGUGGGCGUGCGUCGGCCAGGGUUCAUCCCCUGGUCGGCGUGCGUCUGUCGUACGUCGGGCUCCGUGGUGAAGCGUGCCGCGUUCGCGGCCGUCGCCGGCGGAUUACGAUACGUUACUAGGGCUACCGCCGGCUCCCAGGAGCUUAAACUUUUCUUAGAGGGACAGGUGGCGGACGAAAAUAGCCGCACGAGACUGAGCGAUAACAGGUCUGUGAUGCCCUUUGAUGUUCUGGGCCGCACGCGCGCUACACUGAAGGAAUCAGCGUGUGUUAAAAUUCCUGGGCCGACAGGCUUCCGGAUAACCCGCUGAACCUCCUUCGUGCUUAGGGAUCGUGGCUUGCAAUUUUUCCACGUGAACGAGGAAUUCCCAGUAAGCGCGAGUCAUCAGCUCGCGUUGAUUACGUCCCUGCCCUUUGUACACACCGCCCGUCGCUACUACCGAUUGAACGACCGCAGUGAGGUCUUCGGACUGGACGCGCGUUAUUCGGCCCCCUCGGGGGCUGGGUCGUCGCUCGACCGGGAAGAUUACCGUACUCGGCCGUUUAGAGGAAGUAAAAGUCGUAUCAAGGUUUCCGUAGGUGAACCUGCGGAAG